rnacentral:rRNA from 1 species
UAUGGCUCACCAAGGCGACGAUCCCUAGCUGGUCUGAGAGGAUGAUCAGCCACACUGGAACUGAGACACGGUCCAGACUCAUACGGGAGGCAGCAGUGGGGAAUAUUGCACAAUGGGCGCAAGCCUGAUGCAGCCAUGCCGCGUGUAUGAAGAAGGCCUUCGGGUUGUAAAGUACAUUCAGCAGUGAGGAAGGUGGGUAUGUUAAUAGCAUAUUCAUUUGACGUUAGCUGCAGAAGAAGCACCGGCUAACUCCGUGCCAGCAGCCGCGGUAAUACGGAGGGUGCGAGCGUUAAUCGGAAUUACUGGGCGUAAAGCGCAUGCAGGUGGUUUGUUAAGUCAGAUGUGAAAGCCCGGGGCUCAACCUCGGAAUUGCAUUUGAAACUGGCAAACUAGAGUACUGUAGAGGGGGGGUAGAAUUUCAGGGUGUAGCGGUGAAAUGCGUAGAGAUCUGAAGGAAUACCGGUGGCGAAGGCGGCCCCCCUGGACAGAUACUGACACUCAGAUGCGAAAGCGUGGGGAGCAAACAGGAUUAGAUACCCUGAUAGUCCACGCCGUAAACGAUGUCUACUUGGAG